UACGUAGGGUGCGAGCGUUGUCCGGAAUUAUUGGGCGUAAAGAGCUCGUAGGCGGUUUGUUGCGUCGGCUGUGAAAUCCCGAGGCUCAACCUCGGGUCUGCAGUCGAUACGAGCAAACUAGAGUGUUGCAGGGGGGACUGGAAUUCCUGGUGUAGCGGUGAAAUGCGUAGAUAUCUGGAGGAACACCGGUGGCGAAGGCGGCGUUCUGGACUGUCUCUGACACUGAAGAACGAAAGCCAGGGGAGCAAACGGG
rnacentral:rRNA from 1 species